UACGGAGGGGGCUAGCGUUGUUCGGAAUUACUGGGCGUAAAGCGCACGUAGGCGGCUUUGUAAGUUAGAGGUGAAAGCCCGGGGCUCAACUCCGGAAUUGCCUUUAAGACUGCAUCGCUAGAAUUGUGGAGAGGUAAGUGGAAUUCCGAGUGUAGAGGUGAAAUUCGUAGAUAUUCGGAAGAACACCAGUGGCGAAGGCGACUUACUGGACACAUAUUGACGCUGAGGUGCGAAAGCGUGGAGAGCAAACAGG
rnacentral:rRNA from 1 species